ACGAACGCUGGCGGCGUGCUUAACACAUGCAGGUCGAACGGAAAGGCCCUGCUUUUGUGGGGUGCUCGAGCGGCGAACGGGUGAGUAACACGUGAGUAACCUGCCCUUGACUUUGGGAUAACUUCAGGAAACUGGGGCUAAUACCGGAUAGGAGCUCCUGCUGCAUGGUGGGGGUUGGAAAGUUUCGGCGGUUGGGGAUGGACUCGCGGCUUAUCAGCUUGUUGGUGGGGUAGUGGCUUACCAAGGCUUUGACGGGUAGCCGGCCUGAGAGGGUGACCGGCCACAUUGGGACUGAGAUACGGCCCAGACUCCUACGGGAGGCAGCAGUGGGGAAUAUUGCACAAUGGGCGGAAGCCUGAUGCAGCAACGCCGCGUGCGGGAUGACGGCCUUCGGGUUGUAAACCGCUUUCGCCUGUGACGAAGCGUGAGUGACGGUAAUGGGUAAAGAAGCACCGGCUAACUACGUG
rnacentral:rRNA from 1 species